AUUAAAAGUGAGAGUGUGUGCAACAUGGAGUUAAACUUUCUGUGAAGUUGCUGUGAAUAUUACCACGGCACUUUGAAAAGUUUAACUCCAUGUUGCACACACUCUCACUUUUA
rnacentral:pre_miRNA from 1 species